rnacentral:rRNA from 1 species
AUUGAACGCUGGCGGCAGGCCUAACACAUGCAAGUCGAACGAGUGGCGGACGGGUGAGUAAUGUCUGGGAAACUGCCCGAUGGAGGGGGAUACCUUCUGGAAACGGUAGCUAAUCCCGCAUACCAUCGGAUGUGCCCAGAUGGGAUUAGCUAGUAGGUGGGGUAACGGCUCACCUAGGCGACGAUCCCUAGCUGGUCUGAGAGGAUGACAAGCGACACUGGAACUGAGCAAGGGUCCAGACUUCGACGGGAGGCAGCAGUGGGGAAUAUUGCAAAAUGGGCGCAAGCCUGAUGCAGCCAUGCCGCGGGUAUGAAGAAGGCCUUCGGGUUGUAAAGUACUUUCAGCGAGGAGGCGUUACUCGCAGAAGAAGCACCGGCUAACUCCGUGCCAGCAGCCGCGGUAAUU